GGGCCCGUAGUCUAGCGGUUAGGAUGCCCGCCUCACGCGCGGGAGAUCCCGGGUUCAAAUCCCGGCGGGCCCACCA
rnacentral:tRNA from 2 species